rnacentral:tRNA from 1 species
UGUUGUAGCUCAGUGGCAGAGCACUUCAUUGGUAAUGAAGAGGUCGAGGGUCCGACUCCCUUCAAC